rnacentral:rRNA from 1 species
CAGCCGCCGCGGUAAUACGAAUGGUGCAAGCGUUACUCGGAAUUACUGGGCGUAAAGCGUGCGUAGGUGGUGGUUUAAGUCCGUUGUGAAAGCCCUGGGCUCAACCUGGGAAUUGCAGUGGAUACUGGGUCACUAGAGUGUGGUAGAGGAUAGUGGAAUUUCCGGUGUAGCAGUGAAAUGCGUAGAGAUCGGAAGGAACAUCUGUGGCGAAGGCGACUAUCUGGGCCAACACUGACACUGAGGCACGAAAGCGUGGGGAGCAAACAGGAUUAGAUACCCCUGUAGUCCCUGUCUCUUAUAA